rnacentral:misc_RNA from 1 species
GAUGAAGAACGUAGCGAAAUGCGAUAAGUAAUGCGAAUUGCAGAAUUUCCGUGAGUCAUCGAAUCUUUGAACGCACAUUGCGCCCACUGGUAUUCCGGUGGGCACGCCUGUUCGAGCGUCAUUAUCCUCCCUCAAACCCCGGGUUUGGUGUUGGACCCAAGUUGUGUGAACAACUGGUCUCAAAGACAAUGACGGCGUCCGUGGGACCCUCGGUGCAACGAGCUUUUAGGAGCACGCAUCGAGUUGCAAGGACCUUCCGGGCCGGUCUCCUUUACCAUUUUACAAGGUUGACCUCGGAUCAGGUAGGAAUACCCGCUGAACUUAAGCAUAUCAAUAAGCGGAGGA